GAAUUGAUCUGGUUCAGGAUGAACGCUGGCGGCGUGCUUAACACAUGCAAGUCGAACGAAGCUCUCCGAACUGAGAUUUCGGUCAAGGUGAGGAGAUGACUUAGUGGCGGACGGGUGAGUAACGCGUGGGUAACCUGCCGUAUGCAGGGGGACAACAGUUGGAAACGACUGCUAAUACCGCAUAAGCGCACGGUUCUGCAUGGAACAGUGUGAAAAGAUUUAUCGGCAUACGAUGGACCCGCGUCUGAUUAGCUAGUUGGUGAGGUAACGGCCCACCAAGGCAACGAUCAGUAGCCGGCCUGAGAGGGGUGAACGGCCACAUUGGGACUGAGACACGGCCCAAACUCCUACGGGAGGCAGCAGUGGGGAAUAUUGCACAAUGGGGGAAACCCUGAUGCAAGCGACGCCGCGUGAGUGAAGAAGUAUCUCGGUAUGUAAAGCUCUAUCAGCAGGGAAGAAAAUGACGGUACCUGACUAAGAAGCCCCGGCUAACUACGUGCCAGCAGCCGC
rnacentral:rRNA from 1 species